rnacentral:rRNA from 1 species
CACGAACCGUACGAACGUUAUUCGGAAUUACUGGGCUUAAAGGGUUUGUAGGCGGCCAUGUAAGUCAGGAGUGAAAUCCCUCGGCUCAACCGAGGAACGGCGCUUGAUACUGCAUGGCUUGAGGGAGACAGGGGUAAGCGGAACUGAUGGUGGAGCGGUGAAAUGCGUUGAUAUCAUCAGGAACACCGGUGGCGAAAGCGGCUUACUGGGUCUCUUCUGACGCUGAGGAGCGAAAGCUAGGGUAGCGAACGGG